rnacentral:rRNA from 1 species
UACGGGAGGGGCAAGCGGUAUUCGGCUUGACUGGGCGUAAAGGGUUCGUAGACUGUAAAAUAAGUUACUUGUUAAACUUUAAAGCUUAACUUUAAAUCAGCUUGUAAUACUGUUUUACUUGAGUUUUAUACAGAAGAGUAGAAUUUUAUACGUAAGGGUAAAAUCUAAAGAUAUAUAAAGGAAUGCCAGUAGCGAAGGCGACUCUUUGGUAAAAACUGACGUUGAGGAACGAAAGUAUGGGGAGCAAACAGG